UGGGGGAUUUUGCACAAUGGGCGCAAGCCUGAUGCAGCGACGCCGCGUGAGGGAUGAAGGCCUUCGGGUUGUAAACCUCUUUCGCUGGGUUGAAAGGCCAUGCUUUGGGUGUGGUUGAUUUGAACUGGUAAAGAAGUACCGGCUAACUACGUGCCAGCAGCCGCGGUAAUACGUAGGGUACUAGCGUUGUCCGGAUUUCUUGGGCGUAAAGGGCUUGUAGGUGGUUUGUCGCGUCUGUCGUGAAAUCCUGUGGCUUAACCAUGGGCUUGGGGUGGGUAAGGGCCGGCUUGAGUGCGGUAGGGGAGACUGGAAUUCCCGGUGUAGCGGUGGAAUGCGCAGAUAUCAGGAGGAACACCGGUGGCGAAGGCGGGUCUCUGGGCCGUUACUGACACUGAGGAGCGAAAGCGUGGGGAGCGAACAGG
rnacentral:rRNA from 1 species